rnacentral:rRNA from 1 species
UACGUAGGGGGCAAGCGUUGUCCGGAUUUAUUGGGCGUAAAGAGCGUGUAGGCGGCCAGGUAGGUCUGCUGUGAAAACUCGAGGCUUAACCUCGAGAUGUCGGCGGAAACCAUCUGGCUAGAGUCCGGAAGAGGAGAGUGGAAUUCCUGGUGUAGCGGUGAAAGUGCGCAGAUAUCAGGAAGAACACCCGUGGCGAAGGCGGCUCUCUGGGACGGUACUGACGCUGAGACGCGAAAGCGUGGGGAGCGAACAGG